AUGUUCACUAAAUUAAAUGUUCCACUAUAGAUAGGUUUUGAUACUCUUUCACUAAAUAUCUCCUAGUAUUAGAGAAAAUAUUUUUUAAAGAAAAACUAAACAAGCAUGACCAAAUCAGAUCUUCCUUUCGUAAUUGAUUUAUCAUUCAUGAAAGUUUGUUUGGUAAUACGAAAUAGAAUAUAAGCUACAGGACAAUCUAGACUUUUGUGUUUGUUUAUUUAAAGAUAAGAUUAGUAGGCAGACAAAAUUCGGUAAUGUUGACUAACACUAUAUGUUGUAAUGGUUUUAAGUUUAAACAUCACAUGCCUUAUCGUAUCUGUAAGAAGAAUCUCUCAAUUUUCUUUUAAAGUCCACCCGUUUUAUUGAAAUCACAAAUUUAUCUUCAGGCCUCUCGAAAUUUAACUGAUGCUCUUCUGGGUUUUUUUUCUCCAAAUUUCUUAAUAACUGGAUUCUUGGGAGGCGGAUAAUUUUGUUUUUUCAAAACCUGAUUUUUUUUAUUCCAUUUUUUACUUUUUGUCUCUUUGUUUAAUUGUUUUUACUCCCAUUCUCUAUUCUAUAAACCCGAAAAACAUUUCCGAAGAGUUCGGCAGAUGCAUACAAGGUAUUUCGAAUGCAUGAUUGUAGAACU
rnacentral:lncRNA from 1 species